UUUUUUUUUUUAAUUUGGCUGCACUAUUGAUUUUACAAGAUAUGUAGUGCUCUUCCACCUGUGUGCAAGGCUCCUGCUGGGAGCUGCUAAUGGAAAAAAACACCUCAAUUAGCAAGAAUUCCCUCUGAAAUCCUUGAAAAUCCAAUAUUUCUGAUUAGUUUGUUAAAAAAAUCUUAUUAAGAAAUGCUUGGUGAUUUCCCUAAUAAUAUCAAGGAGCAGAUCCUCAUGCUGGGCUCCCAAGAAGAGUAAUCUCUCCCUGCCUCCAGCAAGGCUCCAAAUUUUCACCACGCAGGAAUUAAUUUCCCAGCCCCUCCCUGCAAGCCACAGAGGAGAACUCCACUCCUGUUGUAGCUGCAUGCAGCAAAUGGAGCUUUGGGAAGAAAUUAAUGAUGUUAAUCCAGAUUCCAGGAGGAGAGGGGUGGAGAGGAACAGGGAAAACAUAUGAUUAUUUCCUCCCUCUAGUUCCAUCAGGCAAAUUAACUUCAUCUCCUGCUUGUCCCUCUUCUGCUUCAGCCUUGGAUUCACAUUGGCUGAGCCGAGUAUCUCCUCCUGAUAAAUAGAAAAAAUGUUCCUUCUGCAGUUCCUGUGGCCCAACACCUUAACGAGAGGUGGGUGAACCCAAAACCAGCAAGGCAGUUGUGUUUGGGACAUGAGUCAGAGCUGGCUCCCAGCCUGCUGGUCUCUCUCCCACAGGGAUAAUCCGAUUUCCUGUACUGAGCAUGUGCCCAUGACACCACCAAACAAACACACCAACUCAGCAGGGAAUUAAAGCAAUAAAUGCAUCUGCACACGGUGGCCUCUGCUUUAUUUGCAGAUAAUCACUGCAGUUCUCGUGAGCCAGGCUUAUCACUGGUUUAGGAAAAGGGCUUUGUCUCCCUUUGUACUUGCAGUGUUAACGAAACGGUCUCAGAGCGGUGGAGGGACCUGCGGGACCUGCGCUCUGCCCAGAGCAGGGCCAGGGUCUGCAGGCCAGGCUGGGCUCCACGCUGGUGCUCCACAGCUCCCUGAGCUGUGUGAAUGACUCUGUGCUGGUGCCCUUGUCAAGACAGCAGAGAAGCAGCUCCAGGGGAACUGUGGUUGCACCAGGCGAGGUUCAGGUUGGAUAACAGCAAAAAACUCUUCACUGAAAGAGUGGUCAGACUUUGGAAAGCGCUGCCCAGGGGAAGGUUGGAGUCACCAUGCCUGGAAGUGUUCAGAAAAUGAGUAGAAGUGGCACCUGGUGAUGGGCUUUAGUAAAGUUCAGUCAAAGGUUGGAUCUUGGAGGUCUUUUCCAACCUUGGAGAUUCUGUGACUCUGUGAUUUCUUUUCCAGAAGCAUUUCUGAGUGAGGAGAACUCAAGAAAGGAAGCACAGGCUGCACUUCUCUUCUUCCUUGUCUCAGUCAACCAAAGAACAGCUUCCAAACAUUCCUGCCAUGCUGAGGAGGCUCAGAUCCAAAGUUGUGAUCCCACUGGAAAGGCUGUGCAUCCAUCCAAGUUCAUUCCUCAUUUCUUCAGCCACAGAGCUGGGCUGGAACAAUCCCACGAAGUCCCAACAGAGCAGGAUUUGGUACAAACAAUAACUUUCCCCACCGAGGUUUGUAAGGACUCAGUGAGCAGCUCUGAAGUUUACAAACACCUCCUCUAUUCCAGUUGGGAUUGUUUUGUUCAUUUUGUUCUAAACACAACAGGGGAUGGGGAAAAUGAAAAUGGGAAGUCAUCAGCUGGUGGGAAACAGUGAGGCUGAACACAAAGGAGACUUUCCAGCCUUGGAGGACCCAGGAGCUCUAGAAAUGAAUGUGAGGAACUCUUUCCUUACGAUCAAACCUACCCUUGGCUGAGGAGACGUUGCUCCCCACCACUUUCUUGGGAAGGGGGACGCUGCCUCAAUGAGCUGACCUUUGAUCUUUCUGAUGUUCCAACCCCUGGCAAAGCACCAGCUCUGGCAGGAACUGUCCAUGUGGUGCACUGACAGCUCUGCAGAGCCAGGAGAGCCCUUCUCCCUUCCUCAGCCUUCCUUUUCCUUGCUUUCCUGAGCCUCUGGACCGAGCUGGGGCCACCCAGCCCUCAUUCAGCACAUGCUAAUUCUGACAUUUCCACGAUGUCUGCUGUCAGCACCAGCUCCUAAUUUAAGCUGGCUGCAGAAACGCCUCCUGCAUUCCAACCAGGCUGGAACUGGAUUGCUCAGAGAGGCAGCUGGAUGGGCUGCAGUACAUCCAGUCACCCCCUGCUUCCAUGCAUGGGAAUUGCUGAAUCACUUCAUUUUCCCCCUUCUUCACCUCCCAGUCCAACUUUUCAUUGGCAGCCACAGUCACUUGAAAAGAUUUUACUGGCAAAACAAGUCCUUGCUGAGUUCAAGCAGGACUUUUGCCCCUUGGGUUUCUGUAUCAGCCUGUGGAUGUGGAGGGGAUGCUGCAGGAGUCACUGAGGAGUCAGUGGAGCUCAGAAUCCUGAUUUUUCUGCAUCCCCAUGGGGCCCCGUUGUGUUUAGAACUGACACAGCUCAGCUCUGAGUCCCUCCUGUGAGGUGAGAGGGCUCUCGUGCUGCUGCAGCCUUUGUUAAAUGCUGCAAGGGCUGCCCUGCCUCUCCAGAGCUUCACCUUUGAAUACCUGGGACCGAGUGCCCCAAGGACACAGCCUUGGGUCUGGGUGGCCCUGGAAGCUGACACAGGUGGGGACAAAUCAUGAGAGUGCUGCCAGAGCUCACAACCACCCGAGGACUUCAGCCAAACCAAACCUUCAGUGUGGCGCCUUUUCCUUUUGCCACACUGGGAAAAACCAAAAGGGAAAAAAGGGACAUAAUACAGAAACUCACUAACUUUGCCCUGAGCAAAACAAGCUCUCCCCAGGAGGCUAUAGAGUCCAUCUCUGGUUGAACCUUUGCAAACACCACCUCCCCAGUCACCCAUUUCCAUCUCCUGCUGGACUAAAGACUAAAUCCAUUCAUAAUUCUGUCUCCCACUUCAUAGCUGAGAUGCAUAAUCCAGAACAUUGAAGGAAAAAAACCUUAACACUGAGCUGAACUUGUGGGGUUCAGUGUCUGCCUCCCAAGAUCAGCUUCCCUUGCCAUAGGGGUGGAAAUCUCCAAGGGAUAAACUGACAGCAGGAUCAUAUUCCUCUGAAUUCAUUCAUCAAAACCGAGACUGGGACCUUUCAAAUACUCAGUGAGGUUCUUGGGACCUAACCUUAGGGUCUGAGUCCUUAAGGUUGGCAAACACCUUUAAGAUCAUCAAGUUCAACCAUCACCCAGCACCACCAUCCUAUUCACACUAAACCACGUCCCCAAGUGCCACAUCCAUGCGUUUUUUGGACGCUUCCAAACAUGGUGAGCCCACCCCUGCCCUGGCAGCCUGUGCCAAUCUUUGCAACCAUUUUCAUGGAAAAUAAAUUCCCACAAAGAAAUUUUAUCUUCUCCAUGUGCAGGAAUUCUAUCCCUCGCCUGUGAGCCACAGGCGCUGCUGGCACAGUAUCAGGGAGAUACAGGGAAGUCAGAAGCCAAGGAGAAAGUGGAAUAUCCUGAAUCCAGACUGUAUCCAAACACAAAUCAUCCCGUGUCCCACCGAGCCCUGUGUGCAGGUCAUGGCUUCCACACACCUGUGUGACUACAGUCAACAGCAGCCAUGAAAAAAGGCAAUCCAAGGAACAGGCCUGUCUGGUGUAAAUAGGAGAUUUAGGCACUGUCAUUCAAAUCAGCCUCAGUCAGCUGCUGCCUUUCCUUGGAUCCACUCCCUGUGCCACAGCAAAUGGAGGCACAGCACAUCCCGGCUCCCCAGGAUCCACAGCGGGAUGUGGGAGUGCCUGGAGAGGCAGCUGGAACCAGGCUCAGGCAUGGAGGAGGAGAAGGUAGUAAAUGGGAAAAGGUGAUUCUCCAAGCAGUCUGUGCUGCUGGAAUACCUGGCAGAAGCAGAGAGGAACUGUGAAGGGAAUUAAACUGGCUCCUGUCCACACUCCUGACUCAUACUUUUGCAUAACGAGCCAGAGUCACUGUGAUUCUGGUUUAGCAUUUUAUGAUGUUUAAUCCCAAAAUUUGACUCUUCCCUCUCACUGCUGGGGAUGAGAACCCCGUUAGUGCUGCAUCUGCUUAGAAAGCUUCUAAUUGCUUGUAUUUUUAUAUUUGCAUAUAGAAAUGUCCAUGUUUCCAGGAGAGUCCUGUGAACCUCCAACUACCCCAGGGAGAGCCCUCAGGAAGUUAUUGAGGCCAGCAAAGGAUUUCUCAAGUUAUCUGGGAAGUCAUACUGCUGGGUGGACCCAUGGGCAAUUUCCCAUGGCAAAGGAAUUCCUUUAAUUAAUUCCUCUUUAAACUGGAGCACUGAUUUUUCAGAACCAGAACCAGCUGAUCCCUCCUGGCCUUACAGUCUGUUCCAGUGGGAAGUCUUGAGAUCAAGAUUAAAUUACUUUCUCAAGGCUCUAUGGUCUAGAAGAGGAGAGCAGGGGCUGCCAUUUGCUGCCUUGUGUUACUCCUGAAUGGUCACUUCUAGCUGGUAAAUGUGUAAUUCUUGAGAAGUUCCUUCUUCCACAUUCCAGUCAGACGUUCUUGAGCAAAAGGAGGCUUUGCCCCAGCACUCUGCACCUUUCCCUGCUCAGGGGUUGCAUUCCCCUCAUGUUUGAGGAGUGCUUAGGGAAAUCCCUGAUGACUGGGGGGAGUGAGUCUGUCCUAGGGAGGAGUAACAGUGCUUGUAAUUGUCCUGCAGGAUCCUGGAAAAUGUCCUGUUUCCAUUUUCCUCUGCUACCAUUGAAUUUGAAUGCAGGAGUGUCCGUUGAUAUUCAUUAUUCAUCUGUCCUUGAAUUUUUAACCAACAUGUGCUGGAGAUCAUUCUGUAUUUAGAGAGAGCUGGGAGUGCACAAUGAUUCAGCUGGGCUGGUAUGUCCUGCCACACUGCAGGACCAUUUUCAGCAAAAAGAGGUGGCUGAUCACCAUCAUCAGGAAAAUUGUUAAAUUUGGCAAGAAAAAGAUGCCAGCAGUCAUCUGCUGCAUGAGAUUGAAAAUCCAUCUCCCUGGGCUGUGUCUCCAGAGCUGUGUGAUCUCCACCACCCCAGUGUGAGGGGUUCUCUGCUACACAGGCCUGGUGUUGGCCCUCUCAGAGCCCAGGGACAACAUUCACCACAGAAGAUUAAAAAAAAAAAAAAAAAUCUUUGGAAGUAAUCUGAGAGCUAACUGCACCUUUCUUUGAAAGCAUUUGGAAUUCAGCUUUAUUUUCUCAUUUUUUCCCUCUAUAAAUACUUUGCAGAUCAGAUUCAUAUUUCAGCUCUAUUGGUGUCUUUUAGCAUGCCUCACUUUUCAAAUAAGAAUUGCAUUGUUUGGAGCAUUGGGAGUUUUUUUUUCAGCCACAGCUCCUGGAAUCAGAAAACUGUGAGAAUCUCAGUUUGCACUUGGAAGUGUAUUUGUGGCCUUGUAUUGCAAGGGAAGUAGGAAAAUACCAUUCAAAUGUCCUGAGAAGGGCUGACAACUGGAGAAAAAAUAAAAUAACUUUUCCAAAGAAAAUCCGUACUAAUUUCCCCCUCCCCCCACUUUUUUCUCUUUUAUUUUUUGUUUUUAGGGAAGAAGGAAAUACAAAAUAUAUAAGUCCUUCUGAAAGCCUGAGCCCCCUCCUUUUCCUGGCUCAAAUAUCCCAGGGCAGCAGGUGGAGAAGCAGGGUCCAGAACUCUGACUCCAUCCCUGGCCAUCAGAACCCAUGGCCUGACCCAAACCCUUGCAGGGACCUGACUCUGACCAUCUCAACCACAUUCCCACCACAUUCCCUGCCCCUUUCAGGAGCAGCUGGAGUGCUGGGGGUGCUUUCUGGAGCAGCCCAGCAGGUACCAGGGUCAUGCCUGGUCUGUCUCCGGGUGGCACAAAGCGCUGUCCCCCCUCAGCCCAGCUCCUUUUCCAGCUCCUUCAGGUAAUUCCAGCAGACAGUGAUUCCAUCCUCCUGCUCUCCUGGGCUCCCAGUCCCUUCCCACUGCAGCAGCACUUCCAGGACAUGCUGUGAGCAGGGCUGACCUUCCCACAUGUCCUGUCUUUUUAACUUAUGGCUUCUCCCAGGAACACCAGGCAGGAUUCUGCUGCCGUUAACUCAGAGCUGACCCUUUCUCAAGGCUCAAAUGCUCACGCCUAGAUCCAAAAGAAGAAAUUAUCUCAGUAAUGCUAAAAAUCAAUGAGAAUUAAGCAUCUUCAAUGCUUUGCAGAGUUGGUCUUUUGAGGUGACAACUAUUGAGAAAUAUUUGAGUUUUAAUGAAAAUCUGAAUUUUCUGUAACCAUGGCAAUGGGAAGAUGGAUUGAGCUGAACUUUUCAUCAUUAUUAUUUCUCUGAGG
ensembl:lncRNA